rnacentral:snRNA from 1 species
AUACCUUUCUCGGCCUUUUGGCUAAGAUCAAGUGUAGUAUCUGUUCUUAUCAGUUUAAUAUCUGAUAUGUGGGUCAUUGGCCCACACGAUAUUAAAUUAAUUUUUUCAGGGAAAAGGCCCAAUGGGUAGCUUGCUACUCGGGCCUUUGAGCGUCGCCAAUGGAUUGCACUAUUUCAUGGGCUUGGCGCAUCCCAC